rnacentral:misc_RNA from 1 species
CGGUCAUUCUCCUAAGAAGCUAUUAAAAUCACC